GAGGUGGUACCUCAGAAUUGUUUUAAUUUGCAUUUCUCCAGCCAAGAAUGAUUUAGAACAUUUUUAUAUGAUUAUUAAUAGUUUUGAUUUCUUCAUCUGAAACUGUUUAUUUAUAUCAUUUGACCAUUUAUCAAGUGGAGAAUGACUUUCAUUCUUAUGAAUUUGACUUAGUUCUCUAUAUAUUUGAGAAAUUAGACCCUUAUCAGAGAAAUUUGUUAUAAAACUUUUCCCCCUUUUGUUGUUUCCCUUCUAAUCUUGGUUACAUUGAUUGGACAAAAACUUGGAAUCUGAACUCCUGUGGCCAUUUCCCUUCUGACAGCAUUUGGAAAGAUCAACUUUUCCCUGGGACAGAGAAAGACCCCACUGAUCCAAUGGGGUUAGUCUGCUGCAGAAAAUCUCCUGGCUGCCUCUUUCCCAGAGUGAGGAUAAUCAAAUGAAAAGGCCACUGAUGACUGAUGAUUUUUCAUAAAUUGACUACGAGUUCCCAGAAACUACCCCUUUUGACUGAGGACUGAACUUAAAAGAAGACAAUCAAAUCCCAGGAACAAGAAACCCACUCCUUGGUCACCAGUUUGGGGCUUUUUUCAUAUUGCUCAAGUUUCUGUGAACUUAUUGUAAGAAGGUUUUUCUGUCCUUUCACAAGAUGAUUUAAACAUCUUCCCAGUAUCUCAUUGGAGGCUCCCAGUGCCAUGGUGCCUGUUGCUAUGGGGGAACCAAGAUUUGCAGUCUUUUGACUUUGAUUAAAGACCCUUUAUUAUUGCCACUUUGGUAUUUUUGUUUUAUUCAGGUUGACAAUUGAUAAUAUAUGACAUUUACAUAGUGUUUAACAUUUGCACAAUGCUUUAUGUACAUUAUUUCAUUUCAUCCUUACAGGAAACCUAUGAAGUAGCUUCAGUAGGUGAUAUUAAUCCCUACUUUAUAGAUUAGGAACUGAAGUUCAGGAUGUACUUGUCCAUGGUCAAACAGCUAGUAACAACCUGAAGUGAAAUUUAAACUUCCUUUCUUCUGAUUGAGU
rnacentral:lncRNA from 1 species